GACGAACGCUGGCGGCGUGCCUAAUACAUGCAAGUGGGACGCAAGGAAACACACUGUGCUUGCACACCGUGUUUUCUUGAGUCGCGAACGGGUGAGUAACGCGUAGGUAACCUGCCUAUUAGCGGGGGAUAACUAUUGGAAACGAUAGCUAAUACCGCAUAAUAUUAAUUAUUGCAUGAUAAUUGAUUGAAAGAUGCAAGCGCAUCACUAGUAGAUGGACCUGCGUUGUAUUAGCUAGUUGGUAAGGUAAGAGCUUACCAAGGCGACGAUACAUAGCCGACCUGAGAGGGUGAUCGGCCACACUGGGACUGAGACACGGCCCAGACUCCUACGGGAGGCAGCAGUAGGGAAUCUUCGGCAAUGGACGAAAGUCUGACCGAGCAACGCCGCGUGAGUGAAGAAGGUUUUCGGAUCGUAAAGCUCUGUUGUAAGUCAAGAACGUGUGUGAGAGUGGAAAGUUCACACAGUGAUGGUAGCUUACCAGAAAGGGACGGCUAACUACGUG
rnacentral:rRNA from 1 species